rnacentral:rRNA from 1 species
GGAAUCUUCCACAAUGGGCGCAAGCCUGAUGGAGCAACACCGCGUGAGUGAAGAAGGGUUUCGGCUCGUAAAGCUCUGUUGUUAGAGAAGAACGUGCGUGAGAGCAACUGUUCACGCAGUGACGGUAUCUAACCAGAAAGUCACGGCUAACUACGUGCCAGCAGCCGCGGUAAUACGUAGGUGGCAAGCGUUAUCCGGAUUUAUUGGGCGUAAAGCGAGCGCAGGCGGUUUCUUAAGUCUGAUGUGAAAGCCUUCGGCUUAACCGAAGAAGUGCAUCGGAAACUGAUAAACUUGAGUGCAGAAAAGGACAGUGGAACUCCAUGUGUAGCGGUGAAAUGCGUAGAUAUAUGGAAGAACACCAGUGGCGAAGGCGGCUGUCUGGUCUGUAACUGACGCUGAGACUCGAAAGCAUGGGUAGCGAACA